AAAACAGCCAAGACAAAUGUCGAGGUUCGCGUGUGAUGAAAAUAUUAAGCAAAAGUGGAUUUCAGCUUGCAUGUGGUUGCAUUUUCAGGGCCGUUUUGCCUGCUGUUCAUACCCUUUUUUUUCUUCCAUUAUGUGUAUAUAUAUACUGAAUAUAUACUGAAAAUAUACUGAAUGCGAGUACGCGUUGACAAUAAAUCGAAAACUAUAGAGGUGCUACCGUUAAAAUCGUUAAAAGUCAAACCCAAACACACAGACAACGCGAAGACCACGAAGCAAGUGGAUAGCGGAGUAGGCAAAAGUGAAAGAGAAAAUAGAGAGAACGCGAAACGUAACGCAACAAGGCAAUAAACAGUGAGUAAAGCAACCGCUGAAACGACGUGCGACGCGUCGAAAUAAAAGUGUGUAUUAAAAAACCUCAAUAGCCCCCACAUUACGACGAGAAAACUCAAACGACAAAACCAUAGUUGAAUUGAGUGAGAAUAAUAUAUAUAUAUAUAGAGAGAGAGAGAGUAAAUACACCGCUACAAUGUCGGAAGAAGUAAUUCGCAACGAUCCCGAGCUGAAAUACCUUUCGGUGGAACGGAACCAAUACAAUGAUCCGGCCACACAGGCGGAAUGGACACAGAAGCGCCUGGUCUGGGUGCCCCACGAGAAUCAGCAGAGACUAAAUUUUUGCCUGGGAUGACAAACAUUUUCUCAAUUCUAUAAUAUCCUUUCCUAGGGUAUGCAUUGUUGCUUGCAUUUUUCCGCAACAUGGAACGCGAUUAUUGCUUUCCGCCAAUGAAAAUUAUGGCAGGAAACGGCUGCGACAGAAUGUCAGGAUGCGUCGUGUUAAUAUUCCCCAAUAAUUGGUAAUAUUCACCCUAAGUCGAUGUCCAAAUAUAGUAAUUUAAGAACAUAAUUUAAAAGUAUGGAAUGGGACUCAUUGUUGUCAACCGGUUAUUACCGAUUCAAAUAAAUACUGAAAUAUACGGUAUUAUUUUCAAAAUAUACCGACGUAUUUUUGAUAUUCUGGCGAAUAUUACUAGCUAAAUAGAACCCUCAGGCCUGCCCACAUAAUUUUAUCCGACUAAUGAAUCAAUUUUCUACUCGACUGGUUUAUUUUAAAUACUUGCUUUUAUUUGAUUUUGCCCAAAGGUCAAACAAAUAAAACGUAAGAGAUUAUCUAUAUAAUGUGUUUGUACAAAAAUUGUGUGUACACACUUGCAACCAUGGUCGAUCUAUCGGCCUAGCCCGCCAGAUUCGAAUCUAUCCUUUAUCUUUCUAAUCUGUGCGCCCAAAAGUACGCUGACCGCAAUUGCCAAAACUAUGCAUCGUGGUAUAGCCGCUCUAUAUAACGAAUGACCCUUUUAUAUCUUUAUUAUCAUAUUGCUGAUUUUGCAUUGCUUUAUAUGAAUAUAAAACUUGAUCAAAAUGGAAAGACAUGAUGCGAGAUGUGGAUGCGAUGCGAAGUAAAGCAACUAAAAUUUUGUUGUAAUGAUUAGCUCAGUACGAUGAGAAGGUGGGUCGGCGGAACGUGUAUAUACGUUUCACAAGAAAAGUCACAAGUGCAAAAAGAUUGACACACAACUCUAUUUAACUUUUGACAGAUGUCAGAAACAAUCCCAAAUAAGACACCUGCGUUCGUGGAAAAAGCUAUCACCACUAGGUGAAAAAAGGUUAUUGUGCUAAAACAGCUCCAAAAUGAAAACUACGAAGUGCACGAUAUCUAUAUCGCCCUCGUCUGUACCGUCAGCUAGUGUUGGCUCGGUGCAGAUUAUAAAUGUUUAUAGAAUUUUAAUAAAAAGAGAGAAAUAAGAAGCAAAGGAGGCGAAGGAGAAUUGAUUCAAUAAAAAAAAGGUACAGAGGAAGUGCACCAGACCACCGACUGUUUCGUCUACAAUCCGGCCUGUUGCCUCGACGCCUAUCCGGCUUCUGAAUGCUGCGAUGCCGAAAUUAAUAAAUGCAGUUGCUGAUUUACUAUGUAUAUAACAAGGUUGAAAUAAUUAUAGUCAUAAAAUCAAAAUCAAAAUCAACAGAAAUAAAAUGUAAAAACAUUUUGUUCAGCUUUAUAACAUUGUUAUUUAAAAAAAAAGCGCCGAUAAGUUGCGCUUAUCGCACAAAAAUACCGAUAUUUUUUCGCAAGCCUGGAGGGAUUUUUCAUCGCAACACUGUCCAUUUCAUUACGUUUUAUUUCUGACCUUCUUUGCUCAAACCUUAUUUUAGGCACAAUAAAAUUAAAUUAAGCAUUUAAAGCUAGCUAAUCUUCUAGAAAAUUGAUUCAUCUAUCGGAUAAAAUUAUGUUUUGAGGACUGAAGGUCUUAGCUAAUCUUAAGUCGAAUUAAGUCAGCAUGAUUCGUGAUUAAAUAUUUUUAUAGCACUUUAGGUGAAAAAUAUCGUGGUCUUUUUUUAUAUAAAGAUGAAGGACAUGCAAGAGUAAAUAUUAUUUUUUGUCUAGUUCAAGUUAUUAUCAGUUUAAAUAAAGGGGGUUUAAGUGGGCUAAGUACGUUUUUUAUCAGACGGUCAGACUUCUGCUCUCUUCUGAAACGAAAAAAUGAGUCGUUAUUUUUUAAUGGGCCUUAAAAACGGGUAUGGACAACAAACAAGUACAGCCAAGGCAAAUUGCAAGGUUCGUACGAACCUUACCUCGGCGUUGUUGACAAACAAUAUACCUUGAAGUCAAAAGGGUGACUUUAUCCUUUUAUCCUCUUUUUUCUCGUUUUUAUAAUCAAAAAUUCCAUGUAGGUAACAAAAGGGGUUGAUGAAUUAUUCGUCUAAUAAUUUUAAUGUGUCAUAUUGAUAAAUCGUUCACUCUUUCUUGCGACGAAAAAUUGAGUCGUAAUUUAAAAUGGGCUAUAAAAAAGGGUAAGGACAAGGGGCAAAAACAGCCAAGACAAAUGUCGAGGUUCGCGUGUGAUGAAAAUAUUAAGCAAAAGUGGAUUUCAGCUUGCAUGCGGUUGCAUUUUCAGGGCCGUUUUGCCUGCUGUUCAUACCCUUUUUUUUCUGCCAUUAUGUGUAUAUAUAUACUGAAUAUAUACUGAAAAUAUACUGAAUGCGAGUACGCGUUGACAAUAAAUCGAAAACUAUAGAGGUGCUACCGUUAAAAUCGUUAAAAGUCAAACCCAAACACACAGACAACGCGAAGACCACGAAGCAAGUGGAUAGCGGAGUAGGCAAAAGUGAAAGAGAAAAUAGAGAGAACGCGAAACGUAACGCAACAAGGCAAUAAACAGUGAGUAAAGCAACCGCUGAAACGACGUGCGACGCGUCGAAAUGUGAGUUCCUGCGUGUUUGUGUGUGUGUGUGUGCAUGUGUGUGUUGGUGCGCUGAAAGUGCAGCUGUCGCUUGAAACAAAUAAAACCGCACAAUUUCCAUAUAAAAAGACAUUGCAAGACGCAGCUUGCCAGCAAUAUAUCAAUAAAUCGGUAGUGCGAGAAAACAGCGAAAACCGAAGGCGAGGAGCAAGCGCGACAAGAAAAAAUAAAAUGCAUGUAGAAUAAUUUUAACGCCCAAAAGUCUCCGGUCUGUCGGCGACGCUGACGCUGAUGUCGAUGCCAACGCCGACGCCGCUUGUUGAAACAAAUGCAUCGAAAUACGUGCAUUUCGGUGAAAAUUGAGUUGAAUUUGCACAAAUGCAGUGCUGACAAAGUGAAACGAGAGAAUAAAAAACAAUAUUAAUGUGCAAAAUAUGCGGAAAACUGCUUUGAAAUGUGGAGAGCGCAGAACAGCGGUACACAAAAGAAGGAAAGAGAGAAGGGAGAAAAGGAAUGGAAUGAUGGCCGCUUAUACCUGCUCUGCUUCGAAAAAGAAACCGAAACCAGCCACCAAAAAUGUUUGAAACUGUUCUCGCCGCCUCCGUUUUGUGCCGCUCUUCUAAGAUAAAGAGCGCGCGUCUCGAGAUAAAUGCGAAAAAUAUUGUAUCUCAAUGGCCGCGGUGUUUCCGAUGUGAAAAUUAAACGAAACCGUAUUCAUUAUUUUGUGUUUGUUCUGCUCAACAGAAAAGGGUGUAUUAAAAAACCUCAAUAGCCCCCACAUUACGACGAGAAAACUCAAACGACAAAACCAUAGUUGAAUUGAGUGAGAAUAAUAUAUAUAUAUAUAGAGAGAGAGAGAGUAAAUACACCGCUACAAUGUCGGAAGAAGUAAUUCGCAACGAUCCCGAGCUGAAAUACCUUUCGGUGGAACGGAACCAAUACAAUGAUCCGGCCACACAGGCGGAAUGGACACAAAAGCGCCUGGUCUGGGUGCCCCACGAGAAUCAGGUCUUCUGAAAAUGACUAUUCUUAAUGUUGUGAAUAGCCUUCCGAAUCACUUUUUCUGCUGGCUCGUCGGGUAUUUUCAUCUUCACCGCCGCUGAAAUAAUUUUUUAU